rnacentral:sRNA from 1 species
ACCUAGCCCCGAUGGUAGCGGCAUCCUUUUUCCUGCGCCUUUAGCAGGAAAAAGAUACAGCGUACAGCGGGACCAGAC